rnacentral:rRNA from 1 species
GUCGACGCUUCUUUUUCCCCGGAGCUUGCUCCACCGGAAAAAGAAGAGUGGCGAACGGGUGAGUAACACGUGGGUAACCUGCCCAUCAGAAGGGGAUAACACUUGGAAACAGGUGCUAAUACCGUAUAACAAUCAAAACCGCAUGGUUUUGAUUUGAAAGGCGCUUUCGGGUGUCGCUGAUGGAUGGACCCGCGGUGCAUUAGCUAGUUGGUGAGGUAACGGCUCACCAAGGCCACGAUGCAUAGCCGACCUGAGAGGGUGAUCGGCCACAUUGGGACUGAGACACGGCCCAAACUCCUACGGGAGGCAGCAGUAGGGAAUCUUCGGCAAUGGACGAAAGUCUGACCGAGCAACGCCGCGUGAGUGAAGAAGGUUUUCGGAUCGUAAAACUCUGUUGUUAGAGAAGAACAAGGAUGAGAGUAACUGUUCAUCCCUUGACGGUAUCUAACCAGAAAGCCACGGCUAACUACGUGCCAGCAGCCGCGGUAAUACGUAGGUGGCAAGCGUUGUCCGGAUUUAUUGGGCGUAAAGCGAGCGCAGGCGGUUUCUUAAGUCUGAUGUGAAAGCCCCCGGCUCAACCGGGGAGGGUCAUUGGAAACUGGGAGACUUGAGUGCAGAAGAGGAGAGUGGAAUUCCAUGUGUAGCGGUGAAAUGCGUAGAUAUAUGGAGGAACACCAGUGGCGAAGGCGGCUCUCUGGUCUGUAACUGACGCUGAGGCUCGAAAGCGUGGGGAGCAAACAGGAUUAGAUACCCUGGUAGUCCACGCCGUAAACGAUGAGUGCUAAGUGUUGGAGGGUUUCCGCCCUUCAGUGCUGCAGCUAACGCAUUAAGCACUCCGCCUGGGGAGUACGACCGCAAGGUUGAAACUCAAAGGAAUUGACGGGGGCCCGCACAAGCGGUGGAGCAUGUGGUUUAAUUCGAAGCAACGCGAAGAACCUUACCAGGUCUUGACAUCCUUUGACCACUCUAGAGAUAGAGCUUCCCCUUCGGGGGCAAAGUGACAGGUGGUGCAUGGUUGUCGUCAGCUCGUGUCGUGAGAUGUUGGGUUAAGUCCCGCAACGAGCGCAACCCUUAUUGUUAGUUGCCAUCAUUCAGUUG